AGUUAGGCUGACCAGUCUAUAAUUCCCUGUGUCCUCUUUGAUGAUCCAAGAGUAGGGUCAGCACAGAAAUAUCAACUGCUGAAAGGGUGGGGACCCAGGAGGAGGGAAGAAAGGCAGUUAACAAGGUGAGUCCUUGAUGGAAGAGCCCAGAGCUUUUAGAGGAAAAGAGGCCCCUCCCAUUAGUCUGCCAGAGUCUCCUCUGCAAUUAUCCUUGCAGAAUGGCCAGAGGCUCAUUGUGACUAAGAGCUUUUAUAUGGAUAGCAGGCCCAUUAUUCUUCCUAAGAUGGUUGGAAGAAAAACCAUGAGGGAGCUGGUAAGACAGCAGGUCUUUUACAUCCCUUCCCAUCUUUCCACUGUGAGUUUCCUUUCUGGGCAUAGUCCUUGAGGAAACCCCAGAUGAAUUUUGAUAGAAUGAUGCCUGUGAGCUGUUCACAUUUGCAGCCUUUAACAUGCCCCUGGAAUGGGGGGCAAGAGGUGACACUUCAUGUCCCUGGCAUGUUAGUUUGGUGAUUUCCUUUUCAUGGGCCCCCAAGGACGUGGGCAUUGUGAGGCAUUGCUGGGCCAUUUCUUAGUCUCAUGGACAGGCUCACUGUUCCACAAGGAUGGGACCACUAUUGCUUAUUUACAUAUUGAACUGGACACUGACACAGGAAGCUUGGAUUCCUAAGGACAAGAUCAAUGCACUAAGGGAACAUAUGGCAAGAUUAAAAAAAGGAGGCCAAGGUAAUGUGGAAGAAAAGCUACCCUCUCGUGUUUCCUUGUACACAGUGGUUGUGCACUGUAUUUCCUCAUCAUUUCUUCUUCCACUGCUUUUUUACAGUCACCCUCUGCUUCAUCUCACUACAUUUUUUUGAGGGCAGGCUGGGGCACCUUGUUUAGUUUCCUUUUCUCAUCAUAACUCUUUGUGUGUCAACCAGCCUUCUGUGCCAUGGUAUGCUGGAGGGCAACAUACAGCCCUUAAGAAAUAUAUGAUGAUAAAAUAAUCAUCACUGAUGUCAUCAGUCACUGGGUUUGCUUUAAUGCUUGAUUUACUGUAUCCUGUAUCUCAUCAUGGUGUCAUUUCCCUAACUCACUGCUACAGAGUACUAGACUAACACAAAACUCAGUCACAAUACAUAGGGGAAAUUUUGUGCACAGUUGCUGAGCUAUUGUAGAAGAUGUCAUGUUAGAAAUUUGGCUAAUUACUGUAUCUGUUUUCAGGAGAAAUCCAUUAGGCAGAGAUCCAUCUGCAUAAUUAUGAAAUCACUAUUUUUGUCAUCCUGUCCUUAACCUCUCCACUUGCAUUUCUUCUAUUGACUGAUUUCAUUCCCCUCCAGCCCAUUAGACUGGCAAGCUUUAAGAAACUGAACUUCAUGACAGUACUAGCCCUUGCCCUCUCUGGGGUGAAGUAGAUGUUGAGUGGAAUUUUAGGACUAGGCAUAAUUUCCGCUAUGUUAGAAGUGUUGCAACCAAACCACAGAACCCAGCAAGACAUGGGACAGAAGUUUUGGGUAGCUGCGUAUGUUUCCUGAAGACUCUUAUGUGGCAUCCCAUUCUGUCACUCCUCAUAUUCAGCAUGCAUACGGUAUCCACACCAGUGGUGAUAUAAUUAAAUUAUACACAGUCAUAGAAAUGUAGGGUUGGAAGAGACCUCGAGAUCAUCUAGUCAGAUGCAUGUAAAAUCUUUAAUAAUAGAAAAGGGCACAGAGAUCCCUUUCCCACAAAUCCCAUGUAAAUAACAGGUAUGUGAACAUCUGUCAUGCCCAUGACACUAUCUGAUGGUGAGACAAAUAUCCUACUCAUGCACAGUAAAGCAUCAGAAUCCCAUUUUUGGCAACCAGGUCUAAAGCCUUAAGGCCUCAAUCAAUCCCUGCGCUGCUCUCAGUGGAUUGGGAAUGACCCUAGGUUGGGGGUUGCAGUAUAGGGGAGCCAUGACUCCAUAGCAUCCUUUUCCUUCCAAACAUAAUAGCAGGAGUGGGUGCAAUGGAAUUUUGGGAGCAGAAAAGGGGUAUUAUGCCUGGCAUUAUCCUCUGUUGGCCCCAUCGCUAUUCAAGUGGAUACAGUCUGCAACUGCUACUAUGCAGCAGAGAAGGAAACAAAGAACCAGAGCUGUUUCACAGAAAAGCUUGGCCCUUCAUGGAUUGGAAGUGCUGUUCCCUAAAUUUUGGGGAUCCACAUGAUGGAGAGGCUGUACCUUAGCCUUUUCCACAGCUCCCCUGAUUCCUCUUGAGGGGAAAAUUUGAUAGAUAAUCAUGAGGUGAGCCUCAUGGAAUUACUUGGCCGCCUCCUCACUUCCAAGGGGGUAUUUCCGUGGCAGGGUAACAACUUGCAAGCGAAUUACCAUGUUGGAAGGGUUUUCUUAAAUCAUAGAAUCAUAGAAUAUCAGGGUUGGAAGGGAUCUCAGGAGGUCAUCUAGUCCAACCCCCUGCUCAAAGCCAGACCAAUCCCCAACUAAAUCAUCC